GAAGCCCGGAGAUGGGUACUGAGACAAGGACCCAGGCCCUAUGGGGCGCAGCAGGCGAGAAAACUUUGCAAUGUGCGAAAGCACGACAAGGUUAAUCCGAGUGAUUUCUGCUAAAGGAAUCUUUUGUUAGUUCUAAAAAUACUAGUGAAUAAGGGGUGGGCAAGUUCUGGUGUCAGCCGCCGCGGUAAAACCAGCACCUCAAGUGGUCAGGAGGAUUAUUGGGCCUAAAGCAUCCGUAGCCUGUUCUAUAAGUUUGCGGUUAAAUCUAUACGCUCAACGUAUAGGCUGCCGUAAAUACUGUAGAACUAGGGAGUGGGAGAGGUAGACGGUACUCGAUAGGAAGGGGUAAAAUCCUUUGAUCUAUUGAUGACCACCUGUGGCGAAGGCGGUCUACCAGAACACGUUCGACGGUGAGGGAUGAAAGCUGGGGGAGCAAACCGGAUUAGAUACCCGGGUAGUCCCAGCUGUAAACGAUGCAGACUCGAUGAUGCAAUGGCAUAGAGCUAUUGCAGUAUCGCAGGGAAGCCGUUAAGUCUGCCGCCUGGGAAGUACGUACGCAAGUAUGAAACUUAAAGGAAUUGGCGGGGGAGCACCACAAGGGGUGAAGCCUGCGGUUCAAUUNGAGUCAACGCCGGA
rnacentral:rRNA from 1 species